rnacentral:rRNA from 1 species
CCUACGGGAGGCAGCAGUGGGGAAUAUUGCACAAUGGGGGAAACCCUGAUGCAGCGACGCCGCGUGAGUGAAGAAGUAAUUCGUUAUGUAAAGCUCUAUCAGCAGGGAAAAAAAUGACGGUACCUGAGUAAGAAGCCCCGGCUAACUACGUGCCAGCAGCCGCGGUAAUACGUAGGGGGCAAGCGUUAUCCGGAUUUACUGGGUGGAAAGGGAGCGUAGACGGCAGUGCAAGUCUGGAGUGAAAGGCGGGGGCUCAACCCCCGGACUGCUCUGGAAACGGUACGGCUGGAGUGCAGGAGAGGUAAGUGGAAGUCCUAGUGUAGCGGUGAAAUGCGUAGAUAUUAGGAGGAACACCAGUGGCGAAGGCGGCUUACUGGACUGUAACUGACGUUGAGGCUCGAAAGCGUGGGGAGCAAACAGGAUUAGAUACCCGGGUAGUC